UAACCAGACUCCUACGGGAGGCAGCAGUGGGGAAUAUUGGGCAAUGGGCGCAAGCCUGACCCAGCAACGCCGCGUGAAGGAAGAAGGCUUUCGGGUUGUAAACUUCUUUUGACAGGGAAGAGCAGAAGACGGUACCUGACUAAGAAGCCCCGGCUAACUACGUGCCAGCAGCCGCGGUAAUACGUAGGGGGCGAGCGUUAUCCGGAUUUACUGGGUGUAAAGGGAGCGUAGACGGUUAAUCAAGUCUGAAGUGAAAGCCCGCGGCUCAACUGCGGAACGGCUUUGGAAACUGAGUAACUGGAGUGCUGGAAGGGCAGGCGGAAUUCCUGGUGUAGCGGUGAAAUGCGUAGAUAUCAGGAGGAACACCGGUGGCGAAGGCGGCCUGCUGGACAGUAACUGACGUUGAGGCUCGAAAGCGUGGGGAGCAAACAGGAUUAGAUACCCUCGUA
rnacentral:rRNA from 1 species